rnacentral:rRNA from 1 species
AUGAGGAUCUAUAGAGGUUCCCUUACCUCUCGCAAUGGCGGUCUUCGGCUCCCUCCUGGCCCAUGGCAGCUUCCUAUCAUCGGCAGCCUCCACCAUCUCCUAGGCGCCCUGCCACACCGUGCCUUACGGGACCUCUCUCGACGCCAUGGGCCUCUCAUGCUCCUCAGGUUCGGCGAGGUUCCGGCGAUCGUCGCCUCUACGGCGGAAGCUUCCAAGGAAAUCACCAAGACGUACGACCACAUCUUCUGCACAAGGCCGUUGAGCGCGUCCGCCAAGGUCCUCAGCGAGCACGGCAAGGGGAUCGCGUUCGCCCCGUACGGUGGCGAAUGGCGGCAGCUCCGCAAGAUCUGCAUCCUGGAGCUGCUCGGCGCCAGGAACAUCACUUCGUUCCGGCCCAUCCACGAGGAGGAGGUGAACAGGCUCAUCCGGUCCAUAGUCGACGACUCAUCGGAGGUGGUGAACCUGAGCCACUACCGGACUCGCGGGCUAUGCCUACGGCCCAGGGCCGUCGGCAUAGGUCCUCUGCCGUCGGUGUAG